rnacentral:tRNA from 1 species
GGCCAGGUAGCUCAGUUAGUUGAGCGUGGCGCUAACAACACCAAGGUCGCGGGUUCAAUUCCCAUUCGGUCCC